rnacentral:rRNA from 1 species
GAUGAACGCUGGCGGCGUGCCUAAUACAUGCAAGUCGAGCGAAUGGAUUAUGAGCUUGCUCUUAUGAAGUUAGCGGCGGACGGGAGAGUAACACGUGGGUAACCUGCCCAUACGACUGGUAUAACCCCGGGAAAGCGGGGCUAAUACCGGAUACCAUUUUGAACCGCAUGGUUCGAAAUUGAAAGUCGGCUUCGGCUGUCACUUAUGGCUGGACUCGCGUCGCAUUAGCUAGUUGGUGAGGUAACGGCUCACCAAGGCAACGAUGCGUAGCCGACCUGAGAGGGUGAUCGGCCACACUGGGACUGAGACACGGCCCAGACUCCUACGGGAGGCAGCAGUAGGGAAUCUUCCGCAAUGGACGAAAGUCUGACGGAGCAACGCCGCGUGAGUGAUGAAGGCUUUCGGGUCGUAAAACUCUGUUGUUAGGGAAGAACAAGUGCUAGUUGAAUAAGCUGGCACCUUGACGGUACCUAACCAGAAAGCCACGGCUAACUACGUGCCAGCAGCCGCAGUAA